UGGGGAAUAUUGGACAAUGGGCGGAAGCCUGAUCCAGCAACGCCGCGUGAGGGAUGACGGCCUUCGGGUUGUAAACCUCUUUCGGUGGGGACGAAGCGCAAGUGACGGUACCCACUAAAGAAGCACCGGCCAACUACGUGCCAGCAGCCGCGGUAAUACGUAGGGUGCGAGCGUUGUCCGGAAUUAUUGGGCGUAAAGGGCUCGUAGGCGGUUUGUCGCGUCGGGAGUGAAAACCAGGUGCUUAACACCUGGCUUGCUUUCGAUACGGGCAGACUAGAGGUAUUCAGGGGAGAACGGAAUUCCUGGUGUAGCGGUGAAAUGCGCAGAUAUCAGGAGGAACACCGGUGGCGAAGGCGGUUCUCUGGGAAUGACCUGACGCUGAGGAGCGAAAGUGUGGGGAGCGAACAGG
rnacentral:rRNA from 1 species